rnacentral:rRNA from 1 species
CCUACGGGACGCACCAGUAGGGAAUCUUCGGCAAUGGACGAAAGUCUGACCGAGCAACGCCGCGUGAGUGAAGAAGGUUUUCGGAUCGUAAAACUCUGUUGUUAGAGAAGAACAAGUAGGAGAGUAACUGCUCUUACCUUGACGGUAUCUAACCAGAAAGCCACGGCUAACUACGUGCCAGUAGCCGCGGUAAUACGUAGGUGGCAAGCGUUGUCCGGAUUUAUUGGGCGUAAAGCGAGCGCAGGCGGUCUUUUAAGUCUGAUGUGAAAGCCCUCGGCUCAACCGAGGAAGGUCAUUGGAAACUGGAGGACCUGAGUGCAGAAGAGGAGAGUGGGAUUCCAUGCGUAGCGGUGAAAUGCGUAGAUAUAUGGAGGAACACCAGUGGCGAAGGCGACUCUCUGGUCUGUAACUGACGCUGAGGCUCGAAAGCGUGGGGAGCAAACAGGAUUAGAUACCCGAGUAGUC